rnacentral:rRNA from 1 species
UGGGGAAUUGUUCGCAAUGGGCGCAAGCCUGACGACGCAACGCCGCGUGGAGGAUGAAGGUCUUCGGAUUGUAAACUCCUGUUGAUCGGGACGAACAUCCAUCGGGAUAACACCCCGGAGGACUGACGGUACCGAUUGAGGAAGCCCCGGCUAACUCUGUGCCAGCAGCCGCGGUAAUACAGAGGGGGCAAGCGUUGUUCGGAAUUACUGGGCGUAAAGGGCGCGUAGGCGGCCGCCUAAGUCAGACGUGAAAUCCCUCGGCUCAACCGGGGAACUGCGUCUGAUACUGGGUGGCUUGAAUCCGGGAGAGGGAUGCGGAAUUCCAGGUGUAGCGGUGAAAUGCGUAGAUAUCUGGAGGAACACCGGUGGCGAAGGCGGCAUCCUGGACCGGCAUUGACGCUGAGGCGCGAAAGCCAGGGGAGCAAACG